rfam:Serratia fonticola strain DSM 4576, complete genome.
GGGUGCUCUGGAUCUUUUUGUCCUGAGCAUUAGCAAGGGAUAGAAAGAGAAAAGCCCCGAAUCGAUGUAAAUCAACCCGAGGCCACUCUUAUGCAUGAACACCAUAAAGGUAGCCUCUUACCCGCCGAAAGGCAAGGACAAGGAGGCUAUCAUG